rnacentral:tRNA from 1 species
GGGUGAGUAGUCGUCUACCGGCCGUUUUCUCUCCCGGCUGAAUACAAAUUUGACCCUGUACCUUGCCAAGGUAAGGGUCGAGGGUUCGAACCCCUUCUCCCGCUCCA